UCUUUUUACCUUUUCACAAAAUCUCCAUCUACCCAAACAAUCCUCCUAACUUCCAACAGAGAAGCAAGUAACCCUAAAAACAUUCAACUAUUUUGUUCCUUGGUUGCAAUUUUUUCAUAUUAUGGACCUCUAGUGAUGUGGUAUUUGUUAUCUCAUCUCAUCAAGGAACAUGUGUAUGAAUGUUCCCUUGAAAUGCUUCAAGAUCAAGAAGCAUGUUCAUCAUUAUAUCUUAGAGCAUUGUACAUCGAACUUAACUGCAGAGCUUCAGUCUCGUUGUUACUGUGGCCUAGAUAAACCUCCUCUAAAGGGUAAAUGUCCAAAAAUAAUCUUCUAAAAGAUAAAAACGUAUCCGAAAUGAAUUUUGGUUGUGCCGAAGAUUAGAGACAAUAGUGUUGAUCUAUUUGUGGUUCCUUAUCCAUUUCAUCAUUUUCAAGUCGAAUAGAUGUGAUAUAUAAAGCCACUUGACUACAAAUGGUGUAAUAGAGCUUCUGACAUUCCACCUCUUAUUUCUCAGAAAGUCGUUUACCUAUUUUAUAGCAUUAUCUCUUGUCAUAAACUUUGGAUUGAUGUUCACAAAAGCCCCUUUUUUGCUUAGUCAUCCCACGAAGGACUACAAUUACCAUUGUUAAUCUUCCACCCAAUGCAUUUUUUCACUCAUAUCUCUUGCUAGUGGAAGGAGUUGUCAGCAUACAAGUUUUUGCCCACGACAUGGAUUUUAGAACAAUAUUUAGCAUUUUGAAACAUUGCCCACAUAGAAUCCUUAUCUCCAAAUUGCUACUAUCUUUUGACUUUGAGGAUUGUAGAAAGAUCUCUUAUGCCUCUAAUGCCAAACUUUAAUUCCAUAACUCUAUCAAAAAAUAUUUUAAGUUGCAUCAGCUUCCUGUUCACUUGAUCUGACAUUAUUUCUUCAUUAGCAGAUGAAGCAUUACAUCCCUUUCACUUUUUGCUGGUUAUAAGUUUUUCAAAUCUCCGUCUUUUAAAGAAAACGUAAACAAUAAAAAGAGCUAAGAAAAUGAUAAAAUGUUUCACCUUAUAUUUUAUGAGUCUAUCAGGUCAUCUUGUAUUAAAUGUUAUUAUAUGAAGGCUAAUUACAAUGACAUCUGAUGGUUUGCAUUGGAAUCCAUUAAUUGGAAAAAGAUUUUUAAAGAGUGCAACUAUAACUAUCAGAAACUUUAGGAUUGUGCAUGACACUAUCACCUCUUAAUAAAAGGAAAACUACUAUGAAACUUUUUCAAUAAAUCAUGGAAUAACGUAAUAAUUCGAGUGAAACGUUAAUGACUACAUUGACUUAAAAGAAUCAGAAAUAUGGAAUUGUGGGGAGAGAAUGUUUUUCAGAGAAGUGUCCAGAAAAAAAUAUUUCCAAUGUCUAGAAAAAGUAUUUACAAUGUCUAGUAAGUUUUUCAAAACUCUGUUUUCUUGUUAAGUUGUUCGAGGACCCUACAAUGUGUCCUCUGUUCACUUCUCUAUAAGUUUCAUAGAAAUGUGUUCAAUUUCCUGAAAGAAAAUUUCCCCUAAGUUAUAAGUCAUUUUGUACUGUAUACAUACUGCAUUAUUUUCUUUAAGGUUGUCUUGCAUAAAUCUUGUUUCGAUAUACUAUAGUUAUUCAAUUUAAUUAUUACUUGAUUUUAUUUUGUUUUACUUGUGUUCUAUUUUAGCUAAUUAUAUGAUUGCUUCAUGGUUUUCUUGUUUACUUGAAUUUGUUCUACUGAGCUGAAGAUGCUUCAUAAAUAGCAUUUGUACCUCCAAGGAGUAGCAAAAAAGUAUGUGUAUGAUCAACAAUUCCUAGACUCUACUUGUGAUAUUUUACUAGGGAUGUUGUUUUUGUAGUUAUAUUUCUGUACAUUAUCUCAUGUUCUAAUAUGUGGAUCUGAUCUUUUCAUAGGUCAGGCAUGUGAAAUACUUUCUUGAUGGUAGGUCGUAGUGCGACUUCAAAUAUAGGAUCCCUACUUACUCUUCUACUAUACAAGUUGAAUUGUGCGUCAUAUUCCUAACAACUCAAACUUUUAAAUGAGAUUGGUUAAAUAAUUUAGCACUAAUUUCUGUUGCUUUCACUUCUUGCAAUACCGAAAUUAAAAAGAAAAUUUCUUGUACAGUGUAAGACAUGCUAUUCUUUCAAUCUAUAAUCCUCAUUAUUGCUUAUGUAAGUACCUAAUUAAGUUUUUUGUUCAUCUCUUUUUAUUGUUUGUCACAUAUUCAUUUUCAAGAAAACCUAUGAACUUUAGUGCAGGGUGUGAAUCUAUACUAUCAAACAUAGUUACAAUUAUCUCAAUUUUUCUUAUCCCUCCUAUUGUUAAGGUAAGAAGAGAAAACCCUUUCUUUGGGAAAUUCGAUUCAAUUAUAGUAAGUUUUCUUUUUGAAUAAAAUUUAUUUGAUUCUUCAUAGUUGUUGCAUUUACUUUCAUAUUGGUUAAUUUUGAUUUUUUGCAAAAAAAAAGUAGCAUCUAUUACUAUACUAACAUGAACUUAUUGUUUUAACAAAUCAAGAAUUCGGUGUCUUGAGAACCUAUUCACGAAGAAAGUGCAGAUGAAGUAUCAAAAGCUAAAAAUAUCAUAGAAAAAGUUGAAGAUCAAAGAGACCUAGCUAUUCGUUAUUUCGUUAGGAAUUAUGUAAGAUGUUUUCACUAAUACACAAAUUUAUAUUUUGUUAGGUCUUGAAUAAAUGCUAUAAUUUUUAUAGAUA